UACGGGGGGAGCAAGCGUUGUUCGGAUUUACUGGGCGUAAAGGGCGCGUAGGCGGCCUCCGCAAGUCAGUUGUGAAAUCUCCGAGCUUAACUCGGAAAGGUCAACUGAUACUGCGGGGCUAGAGUGCGGAAGGGGCAACUGGAAUUCUUGGUGUAGCGGUGAAAUGCGUAGAUAUCAAGAGGAACACCUGCGGCGAAGGCGGGUUGCUGGGCUGACACUGACGCUGAUGCGCGAAAGCUAGGGGAGCGAACGGG
rnacentral:rRNA from 1 species